rnacentral:lncRNA from 1 species
CGUGUGCACAGUGAACCUGACAGGUGGUGUCAUCCACGCUGCUGUCACAGGGCCUGGGAGAUGAGGGCGCUGCCCUUGCGGGGCUGCCCCUUGGAGUCCUCCCAAAGUCAGCCACCUUCAAAUUCCUGCGUAGUCAGCUGUAACUUAGGUGAGUGCCGCAAGGCCUCCACGUGUGUUCAGAGUGUCCACACCAGACUCUGGCCGGACUCCGUGGGUCCUGGGACUCUGCAGCCCUCGACCUUGGCAGCCUCCUUGCCUUCGGGUGCUUGAAUGCCAUGCAGCAUCCGAUGCAACCCACGACCUUGAGUCUAUUAUGAGUCAAGUGUGGUCGCUGUAGAUAAGGAUG